UUGUGGAUUCACUUCAUGCCUUUUGCCAUCUACAAUAGCUGGGUCUCCCCUAAGUAUAGUUUAUUCAAAAAUUCCUACUGUGGAUUUGUUGUCUCCAGUUUUGCUCAGUAUUUUCAGCUCCAGAGGAUCCUAAAGGUCAAAGAAGUGUGAUCUCAUUCCAUCCUUAUAAUUUGAGGACCUUACUCUUCGUGGACCUGAGAGUAAUCUCUUUAAAUUGUCUCAUUCUCUUUAAAGGUAAGAGGAAUAUAUUUUCCCCCGGUUUUACAGUCAUCUGACUCAGAUGCUGCAGGAUAUUAGAAUAAAUCUGUAGUUGUUAUUUUUCUUCAUUUAAGAGAUGGCUGCCUAAAUUAUAACCUUGGCCAUGGUACAUGAACUGAAUGUUUUUCCAUCUGUUUGUUUCCUCUCUUAUUUCCUUGAGCAGUGGUUUGUAGUUCUCCUUGAAGAGGUCCUUUACAUCCUUUGUUAACUGUAUUCCUAGGUAUUUUAUUCUUUUUGUAGCAAUUGUGAAUGGCAAUUUGUUCUUGAUGUGGGUCUCUUUAAGUCUGUUAUUGGUGUAUACAAAUGCUUGUGAUUUCUCCACAUUGAUUGUAUCCUGAGACUUUGCUGAAGUUGCUUAUCAGUUUCAGGAGAUUUUGGGCUGAGAUGAUGGGGUCUUCUAAAUAUAUAAUCACGUUGUCUGCAAAUAGAGACAAUGUGACUUCCUCCUUUCCUAAUUGAAUACUCUUUAUUUCUUUUUCUUGCCUGAUUGCUCUGGCUAGAACUUCCAGUACUAUAUUGAAUAGGAGUGGUGAGAGAGGGCAUCAUUGUUUAGUGCCAAAUUUCAAAGGGAAUGCUUCCAGUUUUUGCACAUUCAGUAUGAUAUUGGCUGUGGGUUUGUCGUAAAUAGCUUUUAUUAUUUUGAGAUACAUUCCAUUAAUAACUAGUUUAUUGAGGAUUUUUAGCAUAAAGCACUGUUGAAUUUUUGUCAAAGGCCUCUGCAUCUAUUGAGAUAAUCAUGUGGUUUUUGUCUUUGGUUCUGUUUAUGUGGUGGAUUAUGUUUAUAGACUUGCAUAUGUUGAAUCAGCCUUGCAUCCCCGGGAUGAAGCCUACUUGAUCAGGAUGGAUAAGCUUUUUGAUGUGCUGUUGCAAUCAGUUUGUCAGUAUUUUACUGAAGAUUUUUGCAGCUAUGUUCAUCAUGAAUACUGGCCUGAAGUUUUCUUUUCUUGUUGAGUUUCUGUAGGGUUUUGAUAUCAGGAUGAUGUUGGUCUCAUUAAAUGAUUUGGGAAGGAUUCCCUCAUCUUGGAUUGUUUGGAAUAGUUUCAGAAGGAGUGGUACCAGCUCCUCUUUGUAUGUCUGGUAGAAUUCAGCUGUGAAUACAUCUGGACCUAGGCUUUUUUGGUUGGUAGGCUAUUAAUUGCUGUCUCAACUUCAGCCCUUGUUAUUGGUUUAUUCAGGGUUUCGACUUCUUCCUGGCUUAGGCUUGGGAGGGUGCAAGUGUCCAGAAAUUUAUCCAUUUCUUCUGGGUUUACUGGUUUAUGUGCAUAGAGUUGUUUAUAGUAAUCUCUGGUGAUGUUUGUAUUUCUGUGGAAUCUGUGGUGAUAUCCCCUUUAUUAUUUUUUAUUGCAUCUAUUUGAAUCUUCUCUAUUUUCUUUUUUAUUAAUCUGGCUAGUGGUCUGCCUGCUUUGUUGAUCUUUUCAAAAAACCAGCUCCUGGAUUUAGGAAGAAUAAAUAUUGUGAAAAUGGCCAUACUGCCCAUAGUAAUUUAUACAUUCAAUGCUAUCCCCAUCAAGCUACCUAUAACUCUCUUGACAGAACUGGAAGAGUUUAAACCACCUUAAACUUCAUAUGGAACCAAAAGAGAGCCCACAUAGCCAAGUCAAUUCUAAGCAAAAAUAACAAAGCCGGAAGCAUCACGCUACCUGGCUUUAAACUAUACUACGAGGCUACAGUAAUCAAAGCAUCAUGGUACUGGUGCCAAAUCAGAGGUAUAGACUAAUGGAACAGAAUAGAGGACUUGGAGGCAACACCACACAUCUACAACCAUCUGAUCUUUGACAAACCUGACAAAAACAAGCAAUGGGGGAAAGGAUUCCUUGUUUAAUAAAUGGU
ensembl:lncRNA